rnacentral:rRNA from 1 species
ACGCUCGACACCUACGAGAGGCAGCAGUGGGGAAUAUUGCACAAUGGGGGAAACCCUGAUGCAGCGACGCCGCGUGAGCGAAGAAGUAUUUCGGUAUGUAAAGCUCUAUCAGCAGGGAAGAAAAUGACGGUACCUGACUAAGAAGCCCCGGCUAACUACGUGCCAGCAGCCACGGUAAUCUGAGCGGGCUGGCAAGGC